CUUCCCUCAAGGCAGCGGCGGAAGGUGGGAGAGGCGAUUGCCGACCGGACAAGGUUGGGGCCCCCUCAACCUCAGAUGCAUGUGCACGCACUUCCAGGGACCGGCAGCACGUCACAUCACCUCCAGAGAAACAUGGGCAUGUGCCUUUCCAGAACAAAGACUAUAUUUCCAGCCUCCCUAUAGCCGUGUGGUAGUUCUGGCCGAUAAACAGAUUGUUCAUGGAUGAAAUAUGAAGCUGAGCAGAUUUUUCUACAAAAUAUGAGAAGAAGGGACAGGGAGUGAGAGAAAAAUAUUGACGUGAGAGUGAAACAUCGAUCAACUGUCUCUUGAACACCCCCUACCAGGGGUCAAGCUGAAACCUGGGUGUGUGCCCUGACCAGAAUUGAACCGGCAACCUUUUGGUGCACAGCACCACCAACUGAGCCACACCGACCAGGACUCCCCAUUUUCUUGUAUGCCACAAGUAUAUAUCAGAUCUCCAGUUUAGAUUCAUGAGCCAUAUUUUGCCCUUCAAGUAUCCUUGUCCUUAUAUUGAAUUUCUGUUUAUUACUCAUCACCAGGGAAUUGAUCACAGUAACAUUAAAAGGCAUUUAAUAUUCU